AUUGAACGCUGGCGGCAGGCCUAACACAUGCAAGUCGAACGAGUGGCGGACGGGUGAGUAAUGUCUGGGAAACUGCCUGAUGGAGGGGGAUAACUACUGGAAACGGUAGCUAAUACCGCAUACCAUCGGAUGUGCCCAGAUGGGAUUAGCUAUUAGGUGGGGAAAAGGCUCCCCUAAGCGACGAUCCCUAGCUGGUCUGAGAGGAUGACCAGCCACACGGGAACGGAGACACGGUCCAGACUCCGAGGAGAGGAAGCAGUGGGGAAUAUUGCACAGUGGGCGCAAGCCUGAUGCAGCCAGGCCGCGUGUAUGAAGAAGGCCUUCGGGUUGUAAAGUACUUUCAGCGGGGGGCGUUACCCGCAGAAGAAGCACCGGCUAACUCCGUGCCAGCAGCCGCGGUAAUUC
rnacentral:rRNA from 1 species